rnacentral:snRNA from 1 species
AUUGUUUCUUGGCCUUUUGGCUAAGCUCAAGUAUAGUAUCUAUUCUUAUCAGUUCAAUUAUUAAUAAUUAAUUAAUUAAUUAAUUAAUUUUUAAGUGGGCUCUAUACCCAGUUUGGGGCUUGAACUCACAACUCUGAGAUUAAGUCGCAUGUUCCACUGACUGAGCCAGCCACGGACUCCCCAGA